UGCUCUCUGCGGCAGGUACAGAGCAGCGCGCGGACAGCAGCGGCUCACCUGUGGAGGGGCGGACAGGUGAAGGUCGGAGGAACCGGAAGGGGGAAGAGCUAAACCGGAUCACCUUUACGUUCCUGCGGUCGACACGCGCGUGACUCCGUCGCAGUCACCUGUCGUGCACGAGCGGCCGCCGCGGUGACACGUCCUGUCUGAUGGUGGAGGUGCGUUCACUGCGCCUGCGCGCCUGCUUCUCUGGUCUCCAGUGUUCCUGUGUGAGCUGCGUGUUCUGAGUCUGCGCAGUGACUCCUCUCCUCCCUCGUUCAUCUGCAGCAGAUAGAGGAGGUUUACAGACAGACAGGUAGACAGACAGAUGAGCAGACAGACUGGUUAAUAACAGACAGAUACAUGAGAUUUUUCUAAAAUUAUUUAAAGUUCCUUUUUUCUUUGCUAUUGUGGUUUAAAACCGUCUCAUGAUCAGUACAAAUUGCCCAAAAAUACUUAAGACUGAUCCAAAAUAAGAUCAAGAUAUGUCCAAAAUAAGUUGAAACUUGCUCAAAAUGGCAAUGAUGGAUAAUUAUUGGGCUUUUAACAUGUAAACAAUAGUAAAAUGAAUCAUCUUUGUCUUACUUCGUACAUCUUUGGAGUAUUUUAGGACAGGUCUCAAGUCUUUCUGGACACUUUUGAGUCUUUUUCGAACAUCUUUAUCUUAUUGGGUUCACAUUUUUAGCCAUUUUGGACAAGUUUCAAAAUAUUUUGAACAAGAUUCAAGUCAUCUUUGGUGAAAUGUCGACCAAAGACUGUAUUUUAGUAGAACUAUGGAUCCACCCAUAGAUAAACACUUCUGUCUGUUCUCACCACAUUUCAUGGAUGUUAGUUUAUUUCUAGAUGUAAUUAACCUUUAAAAGGGUUUCCUGUGUGUAUUCUUUGAGGGUAAAACCGCAUCUGAAAACAAGAAAUUCUCAGAUAUCAGCCAGAAUAUUUCAGAGACUGAUGAGGACUAAAACCUGAGACUGUGCAGCUGAAUCUGGUCCAGGAUUUGCUCCUGAAGCCGUCUGGAGUCGGUGUUUGUUGGAUGCAUUCACCUCCACAGCCCUGCUCCGGCCGACCUCGCUGGGGAACAAAGCUGAGAUUCUCAUGCAUCCCAUUGGUCCGUGGAGGCAGGGGGGCGGAGCUUCAGACUCAAACAGAGAUGCUGCCGGAGCCGGGCUUCAGACGGAGGAUGCUGCAGCAGGAGGCAGCAGACAGGCCGAGUCCUGGAAGAACUCUCUGCUCUGUGUUUUCUGGAUCCCAUCUUCUUCUUCACUCCUUGGCAGUUUUCUGGCGUUGUCUUCGUCCUGCCGCUGAUUCCGUCUCUUCCUGCCGUCUUCAUCACUCCGUCCUCCAUUCUCAGCUGCUCCUGUCCCAGUCUGUCCUCAUCCUCGUCUCCCACGGCGACCUGACAGCCGGUCAACAUCUUCAGGUUCCUCUUUACUAUAACCUUCAUCUAUCUAUCUAUCUAUCUAUCUAUCUAUCUAUCUAUCUAUCUAUCUAUCUAUCUAUCUAUCUAUCUAUCUAUCCAUUGACAUCCAUCCAUCCAUCCAUCCAUCCAUUGACAUCCAUCUAUCAAUCCAUCCAUCCAUUGACAUCCAUCCAUCCAUCCAUCCAUCCAUUGACAUCCAUCCAUUGACAUUCAUCCAUCCAUCUAUUGACAUCCAUCCAUCCAUCCAUCCAUCCAUCCAUCCAUCCAUCCAUUGACAUCCAUCCAUCCAUCCAUCCAUCCAUCCAUUGACAUCCAUCCAUCCAUCCAUCCAUCCAUCCAUUGACAUCUAUCCAUCCAUUGAGAUCCAUCCAUCCAUUCAUCCAUUGACAUCCAUCCAUCCAUCCAUCCAUCCAUUGACAUCCAUCUAUCAAUCCAUCCAUCCAUUGACAUCCAUCCAUCCAUCCAUCCAUCCAUUGACAUCCAUCCAUUGACAUUCAUCCAUCCAUCUAUUGACAUCCAUCCAUCCAUCCAUCCUUCCAUCCAUCCAUCCAUCCAUCCAUUGACAUCCAUCCAUCCAUCCAUCCAUCCAUCCUCUCUGGUCUCACCAUGCCGGUCCUGGAGGGUCUGUGGGGUCCGGACCUCAGGAUGGGGGACUCUUCUCUGGGCGUCUGUCCGGAGGAGGCCCCUGGUUCUCCAGUGUGGGCCCCUCUCAGGACUCCCCCGGUCACUUGUGGAGGUCUGUCUCUGGCCCUGGAGCUCCCGGCUCUGAUCCGGCAGCUCCGGGCCGCCUGGAGGGCUCGGAGGGGAGGCCCCCGGGGGCCCGAGAGGAGCCAGCCAGACCCCUGGGUGGAGGCGGAGGAGGAGGAGGUGAAGCAGGACGGAGGAGCACAUCUGGAAGAAUCCACGGAGAAGAACGGAGGACCAGAUGGGAGACCAGUGAGCUGGAGGAAUCAGGAACCACCAGCAGGCAGAGCUGACGUCAGGCUGAACUCUGGUCCUGCUGGUUUGCUGCUGGUUGAAAGAAGAGGUUCGUAUCCUCUGAUCGACCUGCACGUCCUGAAAACCGGCGUCCUCCAGGGGGAGCUGCAGUCUGGAACCAGGAGGAAACAUCUCCAGAGGUCCUCUCAAACCUCCAGGCCUCCAGGACACCUGCACCUGCUGGACCAGGACUACCUGGGACAGGCUGCUUUCAUGCUCUCUAAAGUUGGAACCUGGAACUUUGACAUUUUCCUCUUUGAUCGACUGACAAACGGAAACAGUCUGGUGACUCUGGUGAUUCAUCUGUUCAACAUCUCUGGACUCAUCCAUCACUUCCAGCUGGACGUGGUCAAACUGCACCGUUUCCUCAGUAUGGUGCAGGAGGACUACCACUCCCAGAAUCCUUAUCACAACGCCAUCCACGCUGCUGAUGUCACUCAGGCCAUGUACUGCUAUCUGAAGGAGCCCAAGCUGGCUGAACAUCUGAGUCCUCUGGACGUCUUCCUGGGUCUGAUGGCUGCUGCUGCUCAUGACGUCGACCAUCCAGGAGUCAACCAACCGUUCCUCAUCAAGACCCGACAUCACCUGGCGUCGCUCUACCAGAACACAUCAGUGCUGGAGAGUCACCACUGGAGAUCUACUGUAGGGAUGCUGAGAGAGUCUGGACUGUUAACACACCUGCCUGCUGACGUCACGCAGGACGUGGAACAGCAGCUGGGUUCUCUGAUCCUGGCCACAGACAUCAGCAGACAGAACGAGUUCCUGCUGACCUUCAGAGAACAUCUGGACCACCAGGACCUGGACCUGCAGCUGGCUGAGCACCGACACUUCAUACUGCAGAUCGCUCUGAAGUGCGCAGACGUCUGUAAUCCCUGUCGAAUCUGGAAGCUGAGCAGACAGUGGAGUGAACGAGUCUGUGAGGAGUUCUACCGGCAGGGUGAUUUGGAGAAAAGGUUUGAUCUGGAGAUCAGUCCUCUGUGUGACCAGCAGGCCGACUCAGUUUCAGCCAUUCAGAUCGGUUUCAUUUCCUACAUCGUGGAGCCUCUGUUUGAGGAGUGGCAGCGCUUCACUGAGCCCAGUCUUCUCAGCAGGACCAUGAUGGACCACCUGAACCACAACAAGACCUGCUGGAGCCGAAUACGAAGUCCGAGCUCCACCUCCGAGUCCGAGGAGAACGAAGAUGACGACGAUAUCCCCUAAUGUUCCUCCGGUUCCUCUGGGGUUCGAUCUUCAGUGAGGAGACGUUUCAUCCUCCGACGUCCUUCAGCUGCUUGAUGCUGAACGUUCUGGUGGGAACGUGAAGAACAGCGCCCCCUGCUGGAGCAGAGGACUGAGGAGAUUCAGAAGAUUAAUCUGAGGAAAUCACAAACGAAGAGGAAAUAAAUGAAGAGACGAGAGCAGAGGACGGACUUCUGCUGCUAGAAGAACUGAAGAUGAUCAUCAGCUGGACUAGAAAGAUGGUAAAUAUAUGAAAUAAAUCCACUAUGCUUUGCUUUUUAAACACCUGUUUUCACUUUAUUCUGGAUGCUUUUUCACUGAAGUGCGUUUUUAACUGAAAAUCGUCGACGUGUUUUAACUAAAAGACUCAAAACUGUAACUUCUGCUGCUUUAACUCUGAAACUAGAUGUUGCUGGACCCAAACUUUUAUCUUCAGGUGGAUUUAUGAUCUGUAAUAAGCCAGACCUUGUUUCCUUCCAGCAGUUUGAACUAAAUCUGUGUUUCUAAAUCACUUCACACCUUCAACACGAUCCUUAAACUCAUUUUUUUUACAGUUUCCUGCAGCCAUAAACCAGAACCAGGAACCGACAAACCGCUCAGAAACACCACAUCUGUUCCCUCUUCAGGGCUUUUAUUUUGUUAUUCCACAGUUUGCACCCUCUCGUAGGAGGCGGUCGCACUUUUCCUCGCUCCGCUAUCUCUGUUCCUCCCUACCCUCAUGUCUCCCUGCUUGCUGCAUUUCUUCGUCUUCGUCUCGUCUGUCUGACUUGGAGCGAUCGCUUGGCACUGGACCUUCGAAACACCGAUCAUGGAAUUGAUUAACUGGUCUCUCAACGCAAUUGACAAGAUUGUCGCCACAAAGAGCACAGGCCUAGGGGAGCCUACCUACCCGGAUGGGAGUUUCGCCUCUGGUUACGUGAUCGACGCCUGGGGGAAGUGGAAGGGGAUCAUGUGCCUGGCACCCCUAUCCGUGGAGGAUGUGGAAGAUGUUUAUAUAUUCGGAUUUAUGAUGACAGACCUGCUGAUAAUUGGCUUGUUCACUGGCCUGAGCUUCUGGAAAAUCAGGAAGACCGCAGACAGAAACGACGUCCAAACUCUGCUGGUCUAUGCAAACGAUCGGAUCACAGCUGCCGAUUCUCGGUAUGACGAACUCAAUCGUAAGAUGAACAAUUUGCUUGGUGUGACUGUUGAUUUGAGUUGCAGAUUGGAAGCCAUCAGGGUGAGAAUCGCUACAGCUAAGGUCUAAAAUUGUUGAGAGCAGUAGGGAGAAGGUGAAAUUACUUCUCUCCCGCCCAAACAUGUGAAUAACUGAUUACAUUCUGGUGCCCCUGGAACAAUAACAAACUCCUCUGGAAGUUUCAUGGCCAAGAGAUAGCUCUCCUACACCCCCCCCACUUUCCCAAGGACACCUGUUGACUUUUGGACCGGGUCAACCGAGGACGUCUCCAUAGCAACCUUGCUGUGUUAUCGCGCUCCCACCCUUGUGAACUGAGACACCGGAGGUCUGAGACGGAAGAAGAUGGGCUACACUCAUACACACACAUCGGACUCAUGAACUGAGGACUGAGCUAAAUAUUCGCACACACAUGUCCAUAUCCCCCAUCCCCCCCGCCUCCACAAGCUUUCCUCACUAUACACAGGAGCCAGGAAUCCAUGCACCUGCACAGGAACCAGCUAACUGUGCAGUGCUCCCCCCUCCACCACCCCACAUCCUUAUCCCAACUAUCCUUGUCUAACGUCAUGCUUUGCCUGUUUGCGGGUUUGUUUUUUUAGGUUCCUUCUCAAAUUGAAUUUCCCAACAUUGGAGGUUUCAUUUGGUACAACGAGCCUUUUUUUUUUCUUUUACCCUCUGCUAUCCCUACCCAGAUCCCAACAUGUCCUUUUUCUUUUUUCCUCAAGAAAGGUGUGUGCAGCACUGCAGCAGCCAGAGCUGUCAUUGGCAGGGCAGCUCAAAUGAAAUUUCGUUGUAUAUGAAAGUGUGCAAUGACCAAUAAAGAUUGAUUGAUUGAUUGAUUGCACAUUUAAACUGAAAAUUUCACUAAAUUUUUAAAAUAAUAUAAAAUAAAAUAAAAUGCACUAACAUAUUUAAAGAUUAGUUGUUUUAACUCCUGCUCUGGGAAUUUUACUACUGUUAAAGUAUUUUUUUGAUGUUUUCUUGAUAUUUUUUACACAACUUGAAUUUUUUUUCAUUUUCAAAAGUUUUGUAUUUUGUUGACAUUUUUUGGACAUUUUUGCUGAUUUUCUUGCAUUUUUGGUAAAAAUUUUUUUUGACUGUUUUUCCAACUUUCUAUUUGAAUUUUUUUUGUUCGGUUUAUUUCAUGACUUUUUUGCAUUUUUAUUUAUUCAAAUGUUUGCAAAUUCAAUGAGAUAAAACCUCGUUUGCACAUUUAAACAGAAAAUGUACUGUUGAUUUUACGGCUAAAAAAAGUUUGUUUGCUUAAAAAUUUACAUGAAAAUACUUCUAAAAUAAAGUUUGUGUGACCUGUUGUAAAUAUUACAGAAUUGUUCCAUCAUCAGCACAACAGUUGGUGUGUUUAACAUUUAAUAUAAGUAUUUUUAGCUGUCAUAAGUAUGAAACCAUAUCCAUUAUUAACAGAAAAGGACAUCAAUUUGACCAAAACAAACUGUAUUUUUACAUGAAAUAAAUGUAAAAAUGAUGCUAAAAUAAAACUAACUAAAAUACACAUUUGGUUUACUUUAUUUUAUGACUUUUUUAACAUUUUUAUUCAUUCAAAUGUUUGUAAAUUCAGUGAGCCAAAACCUCGUUUUAACAUUUAAAAUUUCACUGAACUUGUAAAAUAAUAUAAACUAAAAUAAAUAAAAUGCAUUCAUCUUUAAAGACUGUUUCUCACUCCUGCUCUGGGAAUUUUACUACUUCUACAACAUUUUUUUUUAACAUUUUAUUAAAAUUCUUACACUUUUUUGGACAGUUUGCCUGAUUUUCCUGCAUUUUUGGUAAUUUUAUUUUAUUUUUUGGCCAUAUUUUUUGACUUUGUUUUUGUAUUUUUAUUAUUUUACCUUCCACUCCUCACAUUUUAUAUUUUCUAAAUAAUGUUUAUAUUCUGAAAGUUUUUACUGAAGGUUUGUUCAUAAGUUAUUCACAUCAUUAUUGAUACAAGAUUUUGUUCUAAAAAACAUGAAGAAAAAUCUUUUUUGUUUUUUUUGUUUUGUUUUUUCAGGCUGUUUUUAUGAGAGAUGUUUUAAAUAAUUUUUUGUAGUUUUUUGUGAUUUAUUCAUUCAAAUGUUUGUAAAUUCAGUGAGAUAAAACCUUGUUUGCAAAAUUAAACAGAAAUUUCACUAAACUUGUAAAAUAAUAUAAACUAAAUAAAAUGCAUCUCAUCUUUAAAGACUGAU